rnacentral:rRNA from 1 species
GAAUUUUGGACAAUGGGCGAAAGCCUGAUCCAGCAAUGCCGCGUGCAGGAUGAAGGCCUUCGGGUUGUAAAGCUCUUUCGGCUGGGAAGAAAGGUUAGGGUGUUAAUAGUAUCCUAAUUUGAUGGUACCAGAAGAAGAAGCACCGGAUAACUUCGUGCCAGCAGCCGCGGUAAUACGAAGGGUGCAAGCGUUGUUCGGAAUUACUGGGCGUAAAGGGUUUGUAGGCUGGAAUAUAAGUCAAGUGUGAAAUCCCCGAGCUAAACUUGGGACGUGCAUUUGAAACUGUGUUUCUUGAGUAUCGUAGAGGGUGGUGGAAUUGUAGGUGUAGGAGUGACAUCCGUAGAGAUCUGCAGGAACAUCAGAGGCGAAGGCGACCACCUGGCCGAUUACUGACGCUGAGGAACGAAAGCGUGGGGAGCAAAC